GACGAACGCUGGCGGCGUGCUUAACACAUGCAAGUCGAACGCUGAAGCUCAGCUUUUGUUGGGUGGAUGAGUGGCGAACGGGUGAGUAACACGUGAGUAACCUGCCCCCUUCUUUGGGAUAACGCCCGGAAACGGGUGCUAAUACUGGAUAUUCACUGGUCUUCGCAUGGGGGUUGGUGGAAAGGGUUUUUCUGGUGGGGGAUGGGCUCGCGGCCUAUCAGCUUGUUGGUGGGGUGAUGGCCUACCAAGGCUUUGACGGGUAGCCGGCCUGAGAGGGUGACCGGUCACAUUGGGACUGAGAUACGGCCCAGACUCCUACGGGAGGCAGCAGUGGGGAAUAUUGCACAAUGGGCGCAAGCCUGAUGCAGCGACGCCGCGUGAGGGAUGGAGGCCUUCGGGUUGUGAACCUCUUUCGCUCAUGGUCAAGCCGCAACAAUGGUUGUGGUGAGGGUAGUGGGUAAAGAAGCGCCGGCUAUCUACGUG
rnacentral:rRNA from 1 species